rnacentral:rRNA from 1 species
CUCAGAAACUUAAAGGAAUUGACGGGGCCCGCACAAGCGGUGGAGUAUGUGGUUUAAUUCGAUGCAACGCGAAGAACCUUACCUGGUCUUGACAUCCCGGAGACCCUUAGGAAACUAGGGGGUGCUUCCAUCUGGAAGAAUCUGGAGACAGGUGCUGCAUGGCUGUCGUCAGCUCGUGUCGUGAGAUGUUGGGUUAAGUCCCGCAACGAGCGCAACCCUUGCCUUUAGUUGCCAGCAGUUCGGCUGGGCACUCUAAAGGGACUGCCGGUGUUAAACCGGAGGAAGGUGGGGAUGACGUCAAGUCCUCAUGGCCUUUAUGACCAGGGCUACACACGUACUACAAUGGCCGAUACAAAGGGCAGCGACACUGCGAGGUGAAGCCAAUCCCGUAAAAUCGGUCUCAGUCCGGAUUGGAGUCUGCAACUCGACUCCAUGAAGUUGGAAUCGCUAGUAAUCGUGGAUCAGCAUGCCACGGUGAAUACGUUCCCGGGCCUU